rnacentral:rRNA from 1 species
AUGCAGAUCUUCUUUCCGUCAGUACAUGAUGAGCACUGGUUCUUGUUCGUUGUUGACAUUAUAGCAAGAAAGUUUGUCUUCCUAGAUUCAUAUUAUGAAGGGAACACACCAUUCCACAUCGGGAUCAGAGAUUUGAUGAUAAACAAUUUCAUAAAAACAUGGCAAGAUUCUAAUCUGAGAGGAAUGAGUUUCAGAAAGUUUGGUGUAGAGUACCCAAACAUGCCAAAGCAAAUCGGAAGCGACGCUUGUGGGAUUUUUGCUCUUAACUGGAUGCAAACUUGGGCUUCGCGAAAUCCUCUGCAGCGACAGUUCACAAUGAACGACGUACCAAACGCAAGGGUCAGAUUUGCUGUUGACAUUCUAUUUAGUAUUCACAACACAGAGGAUCAAGGCAAAACACUCGUCAAGAACUUCGCAUGGUAA